CUAGCUUUCUCUUUCUCUCUCUCUUUUUAAGGUACCGGGGAUCAAACUCUGGACCUUGAGGUUGCGAGGCAGGCGGCGGAACCACUGAGCUAAGUCCUCGGCCCUUACUUUCUCUUGCAGACUUCCCGGACUUGUUUUUGUUUGUGUCCUUCCGCCAAAGUGAGACAAGUCUGUGGUAUCCACAGACCCGGUUUUGCUUCCAAACUAGAACUUCGGAGUUUAUUUGAUUUCAUUGUCAACAACCUAAUUUCUUUCCAGCGGAAGGAUCCUCAGAAAACCAGAGGGGGUGGAAGGUAAAAAUAAAUCAAGCUGUUAUGACUCAGUUUGUGACAGAAACUGAGCCUCAAGCAGUUAAUAGUCCUUUGAAAAUUCAUGCAAAACAGACCAACUAUAGGAGGAGCCCAGAUGGUGUGACAUGGGGAGAGACAAAGCUACGAGGUGGCCAAAGACAUGAAGGAGUGGUCUUGCUGUGUACUUCAGGCUGGCCUCAAACCCGGUGAUUCUCCUUCCUCAGCCUCCCAAGUACUGGGAUUACAG